GACGAACGCUGGCGGCGUGCUUAACACAUGCAAGUCGAACGGAAAGGCCCUGCUUUUGUGGGGUGCUCGAGUGGCGAACGGGUGAGUAACACGUGAGUAACCUGCCCUUGACUUUGGGAUAACUUCAGGAAACUGGGGCUAAUACCGGAUAGGAGCUCCUGCUGCAUGGUGGGGGUUGGAAAGUUUCGGCGGUUGGGGAUGGACUCGCGGCUUAUCAGCUUGUUGGUGGGGUAGUGGCUUACCAAGGCUUUGACGGGUAGCCGGCCUGAGAGGGUGACCGGCCAACAUUGGAACUGGGUUACGGCCAGACUCCUACGGGAGGCAGCAGUGGGGAAUAUUGCACAAUGGGCGGAAGCCUGAUGCAGCAACGCCGCGUGCGGGAUGACGGCCUUCGGGUUGUAAACCGCUUUCGCCUGUGACGAAGCGUGAGUGACGGUAAUGGGUAAAGAAGCACCGGCUAACUACGUG
rnacentral:rRNA from 1 species